rnacentral:lncRNA from 1 species
UCAAUAACUAAAAAGGAUAACUUGCAAAAAACCAACCACAACAUAACACAAGACAGUAGACAACUUAGGCUGUUUGCAUGAAAAAAAAAAAAAAAAGCAGAACACAAGAGUUCUCAGUUACUUACGUUACAAAGUCUUGAGAGUUUAGAAUCUUGCAUCAAAUAGAAAACCAGGGACAGAGAUUUAAAAGUUUUUUUUUAGCUCGACAUCAUCACAUUAUCAAUAGAUUGAAGAGCUUGGUUUGCAAAGAACCUGACAUCAACAUCUGGAUCCUCGCUUAGCUCCACAAGCCCUGGACGAAUCGUAUUCUCUACAACCUUUUAUUUUUCACCACCAAACCAAAAAUUAAAACAAAACCUGAUGGUUGUUCUGACUUUUUAGACAUAUAUAUACACUUACCGAUUGAUCGACAAUUGGAAUGAGGGAUUGAAGCACCUUAGCGACAUUGAAUUUGAUGUUUGGAACUCUGUGGUAGUAAAAAAUAAUCUUGUUUAUACACUUAAAAUGUUUGAAGCAAAAUCAUGCGAGUCAAUAACUAGUUUACAAUGAGAACUUGCCUGUCUUUAGCCCCGGUCAUCACGACAGGUAAGAGCUUGGAGCAUGUGAUCUCUGACCCCAUCACUGGUGCAAGAAGAGAAACCGCACGCAAAAUGGUCAUACGGUACAGAUAGUGAGGGUUGCUGAUCAUCUCAAGAACCUGCAGAUUAAUGAAAAAAAACAUUGGUUGACUCUAAUAAGAAGGUAAACACUGAUUCUUGUAAAACAUAGACAAACCUGUGGAACUAUAUGCUGCAUUGCCCAUUCAGGACCAAAUUCUUCAGCAAGACGCUUCACAUUGUUGGCAGCAGCCUCGCGGAUUGAGUGGACCUGAAGAGACCGCCGCUUCAAUAUUUAUAAGGAGAAACUGAUUUGUUAUUUAAGAAUAUCUUUGGUUUGAGAGAGAAAGCAGAACCUUGUCUUCUAACCAUUGCAUGCAAAGAGCGCCAAGCUUAUCGUCAAAGAAGCCAACACCUAACUGACUUGCCAACAAAGGUAUGUACUCAAUGAUAGCAAGUCUUACCCUCCAGUGUCUAUCUUCAGCAAGUUCUACAAUUGCUGGCAACAAGGAUUGCGAUAGUAGAUCAAUCCCAAUAACCUGCCAAAUAUAAAAUAUUGGAAUCAUCAAGUGAAAGUCGAUAAGCAAAAAAAGUUGAAUAAUGUUUAUCGGUGAAACCAUUGACAUGAGAAAAUUUUGUUUGGGUAAGUUGGUCAAACCUGGUUCACUUGGUCGAGUUUGCUGAUGAUGUUCAAGCGUACAUCUGGAAACUCAUCUUUCAACAGCGAAAGAAAGAUUGGAAGGAGAUGCUCAAUUGUUGCAUCCUGCAUUGGAAAAAUCAAUGUAAAGGUUAAAGUCUGCAACAUAUACAAUCCAACAAAAAAAAUCUCUCUGUACAACUGAUCACGGUUAUGGGCACUUUCCAGGUACAAUUAUUGGACGAAAAGGCUGAGUUAAAUACUAACGUACAUCUUUCCCAUCACUGUAGAGUCAACACACAUCUAUAUUUGCGAACUGUCUUACCUUACCCAAGACUGGAGCCAUUCCCAUUAUAACUGAAGCCAGUGCAGAUCUGACGUGUUGAGAUGAGUCUGUUGAUAGCUCCUACAGGUAGAAUUAAAAGAAACUAUAAGUACUAUGUAACAGCUUAUAAGUGUCGAGUCAUUGAUUCUUUGAAAAAAAUUGAGAUUCUCACACGGGUCUCUUAGAAUGUACCUUUACGCAGGGGAGAAUGUGCUGAAUAGCAAGUUCAGGGUUUAGGAUCCGACAAAACUUAGUAACUUUUCCAGCAGCUGCUAUGCGUACUUCAGCCUCAUUGUCACGAAGUAGACGCACAUAUGCAGGCACCAGUUCCGUCCUUGAUAUAGAAGGAACAUUAAAUAGUAUUAGGAAGAAGCAAGGGGUAUCAUCAAAUAUAUUGAUAAUCAUACCUCUGAAGAGGUAAUCCACCAAUAUAGAAAUGCAUAUAAUGCAAUAGGCCUAAAGAACUUCAUUAAAACAUACUAAAUGUUUAUCCAAGACUCCUUACCUAGUAGGCUCAGGUCCCACGGCUUCACAAAGCUCAUAGAGCUGAUUUGCUACCAUGUAACGCACACGCCAAGACUUAUCCUGCUCAGUGACAAAGUACAAAGAUUAAACAUCUCAUAAGUGUAGUUUAUCCAAGGAUCAUCAUCAUAAAGACUAUGCAAUUAGCACAAAUGAUUACCUGCGAGAAAUUAACAAUCACGGGAAGAAUGUGCGCAACACAGUCCUGAGGCUCCAACAAUUUCCCAAGAGCAGCACAACCCUCAACCGCCAAUAAUCUAACGGAAUCUUGAUCUGAUAUGAAAGACAAUGAAGAACCGUAAGAUGAAAAUAAUGUUAGAUAACUAAAUAGAUAUGUGGACACUCAUUUUCAUCUUUAUCUUCAGCUAAUGCUCAGUGUGUAAUGCAUUUCAGUGCCUGCUGGCCGUAACUUUUUUUACAUCCAUCCGCCACCCGCAAAAGCAUAUUUAAUACCGACUCGACAAUUACAUGCUUAAACAAGCAGCAAAGCGACAGUGUGAACCAUAACAGAUAAGAAAUUACCAUCUUGAGUAAGAUCAUCAAACAUAGACAUAACGUCGGUCUUCAAGUGAGCUGAUUCAAUAGUAGCAGCAAAUUUCCCCAGAUUGGUUGCUGCAGCUCUUCGCACCAUUGGCAUAUCAUCUUGACAGAGCUGGGUAUAUAUUGAUCUCAACUCAGUCUUCACCGCAUCUGGGGCGCUAGGGUAUGCAAUAUGGAAAACUCCACAAGCUGAUACUCUGGCUGUGAACCAUUCACCAGCUGCAAGUCUCUGUUACAUCAGGGAGAGUAAACUUAAGUAAUUUCCUUAUUUCAACAAUACAAUAUGCAAAGUUCUUAACGAAAAACAUCUACUUGGCUUUCAAUAGAGAUGGCCAGUCACAUAAACAUCCGAAAAAACAAGUCAGCUAGUUAUGCCAGACACCCUAGAAAAACCAGUAUGGUCUUAUUGUUUUCAACCUAGCAGUUGUCUAUUCCAAAACUUUGAGAGGCCAAUAUAACUCCAAUCUCUGUAUAAACAUAUGCAUAUUCCAACUUAUUUCUUAUGAGAGUCUAAUAUAGUUUCAGUCUCUAUAAGAACAUAUGCAUAGUGUAACUUAUUUCUUAUGAGAGUCUAAUACAACUUCAUUCUCUAUAAACAUACGCAUACUGUAACUUAUUUACUAUGACAGUCUAAUAUAACUUUAACUUCGAUCUCUAUAUUAACAUAUGAAUAUUGUAACUUAUUUCCUAUGAGAUUCAAAUAUAACUUCAUUCUCUUCUUAAAUGAGUCUAAUAUAAUCUUUAUCUUUCAAUAUUCUUCAUGAUUCCUCUAUAUUUUCUAGAUAUUUCCUUAUCUUUGUGUUUUCUAUAAUCUGGAUACGGUCGAUAACAUGAGAAAUGAAAUGAAACCACGAGUUGUUAUCCUCCUCUCUUGGCUAACCUUAACCAACGGUAUGAAAUGCUCAACCAAAUCAGUCUCCUUCAUCUGAGACCCAACUCUGCAAAGCGACUCAACAGCUUUCUCCCUCACACAAGUCUCCUCAACCGUGGAGAGAGUCUCCAACGGUGGAAGCAGAACGUGCGCGUGCUCAACGCCACCAACGUAAGGAAUAAACACUCCCAAUUCCUCAGCCAUUGCAAGCAGCACCUCAUCGUCAUCGUCAUUGUUUUCGCUCAGAAAGGGAAUCAGCUCCUUCCUCGUCCUCUCCUCGCCGAGAGCGCGAGCAAUCGUGGAAAGCCUUCUGAUCGAAUUCAACCUUAGCUGAAUGUCAUCGUUUUUAAGCUCGUCUAUGAGGACGGCGAUGGGGUAAAGCGGCUCGUCGGUCAUCGACAUCUUUGAUCAAAAGUUCGAUUCUCACCUAAUACCAUCAGAGAAAUCGCAAACGCGAGCAAUUAGGAGAAGAACCUAGCACAGAUCUUACUAAGGAAGACAAAGAAGAUCUGAAUUGAAUUUACUUCGAUUCGAAUGAAAUGAAAACAGAUUGAAAAAAAAAAAAAAAGCAGAACACAAGAGUUCUCAGUUACUUACGUUACAAAGUCUUGAGAGUUUAGAAUCUUGCAUCAAAUAGAAAACCAGGGACAGAGAUUUAAAAGUUUUUUUUUAGCUCGACAUCAUCACAUUAUCAAUAGAUUGAAGAGCUUGGUUUGCAAAGAACCUGACAUCAACAUCUGGAUCCUCGCUUAGCUCCACAAGCCCUGGACGAAUCGUAUUCUCUACAACCUUUUAUUUUUCACCACCAAACCAAAAAUUAAAACAAAACCUGAUGGUUGUUCUGACUUUUUAGACAUAUAUAUACACUUACCGAUUGAUCGACAAUUGGAAUGAGGGAUUGAAGCACCUUAGCGACAUUGAAUUUGAUGUUUGGAACUCUGUGGUAGUAAAAAAUAAUCUUGUUUAUACACUUAAAAUGUUUGAAGCAAAAUCAUGCGAGUCAAUAACUAGUUUACAAUGAGAACUUGCCUGUCUUUAGCCCCGGUCAUCACGACAGGUAAGAGCUUGGAGCAUGUGAUCUCUGACCCCAUCACUGGUGCAAGAAGAGAAACCGCACGCAAAAUGGUCAUACGGUACAGAUAGUGAGGGUUGCUGAUCAUCUCAAGAACCUGCAGAUUAAUGAAAAAAAACAUUGGUUGACUCUAAUAAGAAGGUAAACACUGAUUCUUGUAAAACAUAGACAAACCUGUGGAACUAUAUGCUGCAUUGCCCAUUCAGGACCAAAUUCUUCAGCAAGACGCUUCACAUUGUUGGCAGCAGCCUCGCGGAUUGAGUGGACCUGAAGAGACAGCCGCUUCAAUAUUUAUAAGGAGAAACUGAUUUGUUAUUUAAGAAUAUCUUUGGUUUGAGAGAGAAAGCAGAACCUUGUCUUCUAACCAUUGCAUGCAAAGAGCGCCAAGCUUAUCGUCAAAGAAGCCAACACCUAACUGACUUGCCAACAAAGGUAUGUACUCAAUGAUAGCAAGUCUUACCCUCCAGUGUCUAUCUUCAGCAAGUUCUACAAUUGCUGGCAACAAGGAUUGCGAUAGUAGAUCAAUCCCAAUAACCUGCCAAAUAUAAAAUAUUGGAAUCAUCAAGUGAAAGUCGAUAAGCAAAAAAAGUUGAAUAAUGUUUAUCGGUGAAACCAUUGACAUGAGAAAAUUUUGUUUGGGUAAGUUGGUCAAACCUGGUUCACUUGGUCGAGUUUGCUGAUGAUGUUCAAGCGUACAUCUGGAAACUCAUCUUUCAACAGCGAAAGAAAGAUUGGAAGGAGAUGCUCAAUUGUUGCAUCCUGCAUUGGAAAAAUCAAUGUAAAGGUUAAAGUCUGCAACAUAUACAAUCCAACAAAAAAAAUCUCUCUGUACAACUGAUCACGGUUAUGGGCACUUUCCAGGUACAAUUAUUGGACGAAAAGGCUGAGUUAAAUACUAACGUACAUCUUUCCCAUCACUGUAGAGUCAACACACAUCUAUAUUUGCGAACUGUCUUACCUUACCCAAGACUGGAGCCAUUCCCAUUAUAACUGAAGCCAGUGCAGAUCUGACGUGUUGAGAUGAGUCUGUUGAUAGCUCCUACAGGUAGAAUUAAAAGAAACUAUAAGUACUAUGUAACAGCUUAUAAGUGUCGAGUCAUUGAUUCUUUGAAAAAAAUUGAGAUUCUCACACGGGUCUCUUAGAAUGUACCUUUACGCAGGGGAGAAUGUGCUGAAUAGCAAGUUCAGGGUUUAGGAUCCGACAAAACUUAGUAACUUUUCCAGCAGCUGCUAUGCGUACUUCAGCCUCAUUGUCACGAAGUAGACGCACAUAUGCAGGCACCAGUUCCGUCCUUGAUAUAGAAGGAACAUUAAAUAGUAUUAGGAAGAAGCAAGGGGUAUCAUCAAAUAUAUUGAUAAUCAUACCUCUGAAGAGGUAAUCCACCAAUAUAGAAAUGCAUAUAAUGCAAUAGGCCUAAAGAACUUCAUUAAAACAUACUAAAUGUUUAUCCAAGACUCCUUACCUAGUAGGCUCAGGUCCCACGGCUUCACAAAGCUCAUAGAGCUGAUUUGCUACCAUGUAACGCACACGCCAAGACUUAUCCUGCUCAGUGACAAAGUACAAAGAUUAAACAUCUCAUAAGUGUAGUUUAUCCAAGGAUCAUCAUCAUAAAGACUAUGCAAUUAGCACAAAUGAUUACCUGCGAGAAAUUAACAAUCACGGGAAGAAUGUGCGCAACACAGUCCUGAGGCUCCAACAAUUUCCCAAGAGCAGCACAACCCUCAACCGCCAAUAAUCUAACGGAAUCUUGAUCUGAUAUGAAAGACAAUGAAGAACCGUAAGAUGAAAAUAAUGUUAGAUAACUAAAUAGAUAUGUGGACACUCAUUUUCAUCUUUAUCUUCAGCUAAUGCUCAGUGUGUAAUGCAUUUCAGUGCCUGCUGGCCGUAACUUUUUUUACAUCCAUCCGCCACCCGCAAAAGCAUAUUUAAUACCGACUCGACAAUUACAUGCUUAAACAAGCAGCAAAGCGACAGUGUGAACCAUAACAGAUAAGAAAUUACCAUCUUGAGUAAGAUCAUCAAACAUAGACAUAACGUCGGUCUUCAAGUGAGCUGAUUCAAUAGUAGCAGCAAAUUUCCCCAGAUUGGUUGCUGCAGCUCUUCGCACCAUUGGCAUAUCAUCUUGACAGAGCUGGGUAUAUAUUGAUCUCAACUCAGUCUUCACCGCAUCUGGGGCGCUAGGGUAUGCAAUAUGGAAAACUCCACAAGCUGAUACUCUGGCUGUGAACCAUUCACCAGCUGCAAGUCUCUGUUACAUCAGGGAGAGUAAACUUAAGUAAUUUCCUUAUUUCAACAAUACAAUAUGCAAAGUUCUUAACGAAAAACAUCUACUUGGCUUUCAAUAGAGAUGGCCAGUCACAUAAACAUCCGAAAAAACAAGUCAGCUAGUUAUGCCAGACACCCUAGAAAAACCAGUAUGGUCUUAUUGUUUUCAACCUAGCAGUUGUCUAUUCCAAAACUUUGAGAGGCCAAUAUAACUCCAAUCUCUGUAUAAACAUAUGCAUAUUCCAACUUAUUUCUUAUGAGAGUCUAAUAUAGUUUCAGUCUCUAUAAGAACAUAUGCAUAGUGUAACUUAUUUCUUAUGAGAGUCUAAUACAACUUCAUUCUCUAUAAACAUACGCAUACUGUAACUUAUUUACUAUGACAGUCUAAUAUAACUUUAACUUCGAUCUCUAUAUUAACAUAUGAAUAUUGUAACUUAUUUCCUAUGAGAUUCAAAUAUAACUUCAUUCUCUUCUUAAAUGAGUCUAAUAUAAUCUUUAUCUUUCAAUAUUCUUCAUGAUUCCUCUAUAUUUUCUAGAUAUUUCCUUAUCUUUGUGUUUUCUAUAAUCUGGAUACGGUCGAUAACAUGAGAAAUGAAAUGAAACCACGAGUUGUUAUCCUCCUCUCUUGGCUAACCUUAACCAACGGUAUGAAAUGCUCAACCAAAUCAGUCUCCUUCAUCUGAGACCCAACUCUGCAAAGCGACUCAACAGCUUUCUCCCUCACACAAGUCUCCUCAACCGUGGAGAGAGUCUCCAACGGUGGAAGCAGAACGUGCGCGUGCUCAACGCCACCAACGUAAGGAAUAAACACUCCCAAUUCCUCAGCCAUUGCAAGCAGCACCUCAUCGUCAUCGUCAUUGUUUUCGCUCAGAAAGGGAAUCAGCUCCUUCCUCGUCCUCUCCUCGCCGAGAGCGCGAGCAAUCGUGGAAAGCCUUCUGAUCGAAUUCAACCUUAGCUGAAUGUCAUCGUUUUUAAGCUCGUCUAUGAGGACGGCGAUGGGGUAAAGCGGCUCGUCGGUCAUCGACAUCUUUGAUCAAAAGUUCGAUUCUCACCUAAUACCAUCAGAGAAAUCGCAAACGCGAGCAAUUAGGAGAAGAACCUAGCACAGAUCUUACUAAGGAAGACAAAGAAGAUCUGAAUUGAAUUUACUUCGAUUCGAAUGAAAUGAAAACAGAUUUACCGAUUCGUUGGCGCCUUCACGGAGGCUGAUGCAAAUAUUCUCCGAGCGAUCUACCGAUUGAGACCUGGAAGAAGAAGACUGAGAGAGAGAGCGAGAGAGAGAGCUUUCUCGAACCUUUUUCCUACGAACUAGUCUUCAGGCGUUUAUUGAAGUGGGCUCGAAAUCAUAUCCUCUAAAUGGGUUUAUGCAUGGCCCAUCCGCACGAAUAUUUGAUUUGUGUUUGUUGAUAUCAAAAUUUAUAGAUUUAAUUUAUUUUUAUUCUUUGUGACGGCAUUUGAUAUGGCUUUUGUUUGAAGAAUGUAAAUUUGAAACACAUGGUACAAAAUAUAAAUGCAAAUUUUUUUUUUUUAAUGUACGUUGAAUUUUUUUUUAAAAAUUAUACGUGGGUGUGUGUCGUGGGUAUUUAGGGUUUGGAUCUAUUACCUUAGGGUUUUGGUUAUUAGGGUUUUAGUUUUACCUUAACCUCUGAUUGAGUUGAAUGGACCAUCAACAAGAGGAAGGUCGCGAGCUGAUCGAACUAAGAUCGUCGGGUCGCGAACUAACUGGGAUCGGGAACGCCUUGGAUAUGGGGUGAAAGGUUCUCGAUGGGAUUAGGUUCAAGCCGGGAUGGAGGAUCACGCCGGCUAGGGUUAUCGCCGUUAGGGUUUAGGGUUUGAGCUCGGGACUUUUAGCUUAGGGUUUUAGAGUAAUCGUGCUGAUUAACGGCACCCCUUAACAUGAAUCGUUUUAGAAUUUGUUUUGAACGAACUAAUCUCCAAUUCUGACACUAAUUUUUUAAACCGCAAUCCAUAAGUCUAAAGCAAAUAGGAAAUCAGCCAAGGAGAAAAGGCAAGAGACUGGCCGACUCUCUCUAGGCGGACGCCGACUCUUUCUCUCUCUCUCAGUAUGGACCGGUAUGGAACGGGUCGGUUAUGGACAUCCACAAUAUGGUUUAUAACAGCCUACGGUUUUUUCAGAGACCUUUUCUCUAAAAUCAAAACUACUUAUACAACUAAACCUAAAUUAUUAUACUCUUCUAAGCAAAUAGAUUUGGCAACAUAUAAAUGUAAUGUAAGUAGUUUGAUUUGUUAGUAAAAUAUGGUUAAAAAUAACUGUAGUUAUCUAAUCAUAUUGUUUGAUUGAUUUAAACUAAUCCACGAUAUAAGUUACAAAAGAAAAAAAAACUAAUCCACGAAUAUGAUAUUUCCGGGGAAUUUGUGCAAGAGAAGUCAUUACGAGGGGGUAGAUAGAGUCGACGAAAAAAGUUUAGAAUUGACUGUUUUCACAAUCACAUUGAGAUUCUCUCGUCUUUGAACAAAGAACAAUUUACAUGCCAGGACCUAAUCCUUGCAUUCAGACUUGAUAUAUAACAAUAUUUUUCAGUUAUAAUCAUAAGUUGGAAAUGUAAUCUUUUAUAACGAACAUGUAUGCCAACAUGUUGGUCCGAUUAGUUCCAACUGUAUGAGACUGAACAACCAUUCAAAGCGAUGAGGAAACAUGCAUUUUCUGCGAAAAAUGUUCAAUAACUAAAAAGGAUAACUUGCAAAAAACCAACCACAACAUAACACAAGACAGUAGACAACUUAGGCUGUUUGCAUGAAAAAAAAAAAAAAANNNNNNNNNNNNNNNNNNNNNNNNNNNNNNNNNNNNNNNNNNNNNNNNNNNNNNNNNNNNNNNNNNNNNNNNNNNNNNNNNNNNNNNNNNNNNNNNNNNNNNNNNNNNNNNNNNNNNNNNNNNNNNNNNNNNNNNNNNNNNNNNNNNNNNNNNNNNNNNNNNNNNNNNNNNNNNNNNNNNNNNNNNNNNNNNNNNNNNNNNNNNNNNNNNNNNNNNNNNNNNNNNNNNNNNNNNNNNNNNNNNNNNNNNNNNNNNNNNNNNNNNNNNNNNNNNNNNNNNNNNNNNNNNNNNNNNNNNNNNNNNNNNNNNNNNNNNNNNNNNNNNNNNNNNNNNNNNNNNNNNNNNNNNNNNNNNNNNNNNNNNNNNNNNNNNNNNNNNNNNNNNNNNNNNNNNNNNNNNNNNNNNNNNNNNNNNNNNNNNNNNNNNNNNNNNNNNNNNNNNNNNNNNNNNNNNNNNNNNNNNNNNNNNNNNNNNNNNNNNNNNNNNNNNNNNNNNNNNNNNNNNNNNNNNNNNNNNNNNNNNNNNNNNNNNNNNNNNNNNNNNNNNNNNNNNNNNNNNNNNNNNNNNNNNNNNNNNNNNNNNNNNNNNNNNNNNNNNNNNNNNNNNNNNNNNNNNNNNNNNNNNNNNNNNNNNNNNNNNNNNNNNNNNNNNNNNNNNNNNNNNNNNNNNNNNNNNNNNNNNNNNNNNNNNNNNNNNNNNNNNNNNNNNNNNNNNNNNNNNNNNNNNNNNNNNNNNNNNNNNNNNNNNNNNNNNNNNNNNNNNNNNNNNNNNNNNNNNNNNNNNNNNNNNNNNNNNNNNNNNNNNNNNNNNNNNNNNNNNNNNNNNNNNNNNNNNNNNNNNNNNNNNNNNNNNNNNNNNNNNNNNNNNNNNNNNNNNNNNNNNNNNNNNNNNNNNNNNNNNNNNNNNNNNNNNNNNNNNNNNNNNNNNNNNNNNNNNNNNNNNNNNNNNNNNNNNNNNNNNNNNNNNNNNNNNNNNNNNNNNNNNNNNNNNNNNNNNNNNNNNNNNNNNNNNNNNNNNNNNNNNNNNNNNNNNNNNNNNNNNNNNNNNNNNNNNNNNNNNNNNNNNNNNNNNNNNNNNNNNNNNNNNNNNNNNNNNNNNNNNNNNNNNNNNNNNNNNNNNNNNNNNNNNNNNNNNNNNNNNNNNNNNNNNNNNNNNNAAUCACCAAAGUUUUUGGAAAGAAUCCAAGGUGAUAUUUGUGGACCAAUACAUCCACCGUGUGGACCAUUCUACUACUUUAUGGUAUUAAUCGAUGCAUCGAGUAGAUGGUCACAUGUUUGUUUGUUAUCAUCUCGAAAUAUGGCAUUUGCGAGAUUUCUAACUCAGAUAAUCAAAUUAAGAGCACAGUUCUCAGAUUAUCCAAUUAAAAGAGUUAGAUUAGAUAACGCUGGUGAAUUCACAUCCCAAGCUUUUAAUGAUUAUUGUAUGGUAUCAGGGAUUGAAGUAGAGCAUUUUGUUGCUCAUGUUCAUACACAAAAUGGUUUGGCAGAAUCAUUAAUUAAACGGCUGCAACUAAUUGCAAGGCCAUUGAUCAUGAGAUCAAAACUCCCAACCUCUGUAUGGGGACAUGCUAUUUUGCAUGCAGAAGCACUAAUUCGGAUAAGACCAAGUGCAUACCAUAGAUAUUCCCCAUUACAGUUAGCAUUUGGAAAAGAACCAAAUAUCUCUCAUCUAAAAAUCUUUGGUUGUGCGGUUUAUAUUCCAAUAGCACCACCGCAACGUACAAAGAUGGGACCGCAAAGACGGUUGGGAAUAUAUAUUGGCUAUGAUUCUCCAUCAAUAAUAAGAUACCUAGAACCACAAACUGGUGAUGUGUUUACGGCAUGAUUUGCCGAUUGUCAUUUCAAUGAGAAAGAAUUCCCAACUCUAGGGGGAGACAAUAAACAAGUAGGAAAAGAGAUCAAAUGGAGUGUACCAUCGUUAUUACAUCUUGAUCCUCCUACGAAACAGUCAGAUGUCCUUUUUACAAUCAACAUGAAUCCCUUAGACUAUAUUUACGAAGUAAUUUUGCCACAUGUCCUUUUUACAAUCAAUUUUACAAAACAAAUAUGACAUGGCUCCUGAAAUUGAUGACAUGUCUUAUAGCUUAAUAUGACACUAGACCCUGAUCCGCGCGCCAUCGCGGAUUUGAAUUUUCGGUUUUUGGUUAUUUAUUUAACUAAAUAAUGUAUUUGUAAUAUUUGAUGUAUUAUAUUCACCAAGUAAAUAAUUUUUUUGGCAUCUUAAACCAUCUAUUUACGAUGAAUAUUUGAUAUCAUAUAAAAAAUUGAACAAAUAGACGCAAUUAGAGAAUUGUAAACGAUAUAUAAAAACAAUGGUUAUUAAUGUAAAAUAUGAAGAAAUAUUAUAUUAUGACUUAGUAUGGCAUAAAAUAUUAUAAAUUAGUUAUACAUGUUUAAAGAAAAUAAAAUUAUUUUUAAACUUCUAUGAAAAAUUUAACAUAUAAAAAAUUUGUAUUUAUUGAUUUGUUUUUUUAUAAAGCUUAGAAAAUCAAUGGGAUGAUUGGUUGGUUGAUACAUCUUAUAAAGAAAACGAAAACUAUAGGUGGUUUGAAUAUUGUACAUCGAUCGAUGCAUGAUGUAAGUUGACUAUAUAAAACCUGAACAUGGUCAUUUCAAACUAAGUAUAGGUAGGUUAUAUGCAUUUGUUAUAUUGUAGUUAAUAUAUUUUAAAUAUUACAUAAGUCAAGUGAUUCACGUUUUCGUAAAAAUAAAAUUCAAGUUUAUUAUUGGGCCGUACUCGUACGUAAUAAGCUACGUUAAAUAUAAUGUAUUUUUAGGUUCAUUUAAUGACUUUAAGUUUAAAUUUGAUUAAGGAAAACUCAUUAAUUCAACUGGAAAAGACAAGCAUUAAAAUAGGUAGGUUUAUUUAAUGACAUUAAGUUUAAAUUUGAUUAAGGAAAACUCAUUAAUUUAACUGGAAAAGACAAGCAUUAAAAUAGGUAGUUUAAUUGAAUUCUCAGUGGCAUGGAAGUGUAAAUAAGUUAGAAAACUUAUGGGUAUUUUUUAAUGGGUACUUAUCUUUUAUUAAUAGAGAUUUAGUGUGAUGUCCUCCAACGUUUUCGGUUAAAUGUUGUUAAGUUUCGAAUUUGUACUUUACUUUUAUGUAAUCAUAUUUAGAAGUUAAUUUAAUUAUGUUAAGUGUAUAUUUGAAUAAAGAAAACACAUUAAUCUAACUGAAAAAAUAAGCAUUAAAAUAGGAAAUUCAAUUUAAUUGUCAGUGGAAUGAAAGUGUAAUUAACUUUAAAAAUUAAUGGGUAUUUUUUAAUGAGUACUUCUCUUUUAAUAAUAGAGAUAAUUUUUAAAAACAUAGUCAUUCUUAAAUAUUUUUUAAUUUAAUCAACUGAAAAUAAUAUCUGUACAAUUGUGUGAGUCAAAUUCUAGUUUUAUUGAUGCAUGUUAUAUAUUAGUGAUGUAUGUUUUAGGUAACAUUUUAAUGGUACACGUUUUUUUAAAUCUCCAUUAUUAAAAUUAUGCACGCAAGGAUAACUCAUGAGUUUUUUUUUGUUGAUUAAAUGACAUCAUGUCCAAAUUUAUUUAAGUAUAUUUCAUUAAGUUAAGUGAAAAAGACAAACAAUAAAAUAGGAAGUUUAAAUUCAUUUAAGCAUAUUUCAUUAAUGUAAAUGAAAAGACAAGAUAAUAAAUUAGGCAGUUUUAUUCGUUUUAGGAUAUUUCAUAAAUGCUACUGAAAAAGACAAGCAAAAAAAUAGAGAGUUUAAUUAAUGAAUUAAGAACAUUUUCAAAUGAGUACUUCUCUUUUAAUAAUAUAGAUGGACAAUUGCAUUUAAUGUUAAUUUAUAUUUUUGGUAAACUUUUUAAAAUAAGGUAAUAACUCAUAUAUUACAUUUAAUUUCAAUUUAUAUUUUUGGAAAUUUUUGUACAAUAUGGAAAUAACUCAUAAAUCAUCAUUAAAAUAAAUGUAUUCAAAUAUGACAUUAUAAAUUUCGAAAUAUAAUUUAAUUAUAUAUUUUUAAAUUACACAAUUUUGUUACUAAAAUUUUCAAAAAUAUAUACAAUUUUUUAGAAAAUUAUAAAAAUUUAAUCGCACAAUCAUUAUUUUCUUAUAUAUCUACAAAUUUUAUAAAUAUUGUUUAAUUUUAAUUUUUGGUAAUUAUGCAACUUUUAAAAUUUUAUUUAAUAUAUUUAAUUAAAAUAAAUAGAUCGAAAAAUCUAUCUAAGAUUAUAAUUUCAAAUAUAUACAUGCAUAUUCUUAAAUAUAAUUUUUAUGUUUAAUUAAAUCAAAUUUAUAUUAAAAUAUUGAUACGAAAAAGAAAAUUUACAAUAUUAAUAAAAUUUUGUUUUAAAAUAUAAUUUAUAUUUAUCUGUUAAAAAAUAUUUUAAAUUUUUUUAGUGUACAUGGUAACACUAUAAAAAACAAGCAUAGGUUCCUUUUAACAUGGAUAGCAGUAUUAAACUAUUAAUUGUGUUCUCAUAUUUAAUCCAGUUUAAUAAUUUCAUUAAUUAUAUUACCUUAACAAUACAUCAAAUCAUUAAUUAUAUUACCAUAAUAAUAAUAGUGCAGAUUUUUAUUUAUUAGUUAAUCAAUAUUAACUCUGUGUCAAUUAUAAAAUCAAAAUAUAAAAUAACUGGAUUUUACAUAUGGCUAAACGUUUGGUUUAGUUUGUUUUACUAAAUAUUUUUUUUUUUAAUUUUAGUUUCAAUCGGUGAAAAAUUACGUAGCCAAAAACAAAAUUCAAAGACAUGUUUUCGUGAAUAAAAUAAUAACUUAAAUCAAAAUAAUAAAAAUGUAUUACAUUUAUUGUCAUUUAAUUUUUUACUCCAUAUAAUUAUUUUACAAAAUUAAAAAAAAAACUCUUUCUAUUUCACUUAAUUUAGCCAAACACAUAGAAAAUAGUCAUUUUUAUUAGUUAGGCAUGUACAUUGGAUAUCCAUUUAGGUACGGGUUGUUCUUUUCGAGUAUCUUUUUUUUUUAAAUUAAGCCCCGCUUGAAUAUUAUAAAUUUAUGUGUGGGUUUUGAGUUGGGUUCUUCUAGGUCUGGCUGAGUUCGGUUCUGAAGUAUAUGAACCUAAAAAUAUCUAAAUAACAAAUGUAUCUAAAAUGUGUACGGAUAUUUGUACAAAAAAUAACCAUAUUACCCAAUUCGGUCCAGGUUUUUUGAAUACAAUUAGUUAUAUUAUGACUCAUCUAUAAUAUAUAACACUAAUUAUAAAAAACAAAUAUCAAUGUAUAAAAAUGUAAGAACCAAUACUGUAAGUGCAGAUGACUCAAAAAUAACUAAAGCAGAAAGUAAAUGACACACAUAGUUUGUUAACAAGGUUUGUUUCCUACUCCCCGAGACCUUGUCCAGAAUUUGAAUCCACUAGAAUAAGAAAGCAAAUUACAACCAAGUCGCAAACGCGUAAUACAAGCACAACCUUCCUGAAUCACCGAUCUCUUAUAUAGCAUGAACUCUUCAAGACAAUCUCGCCUUGUGCUAAACUCCCCAAGAGUUCGGACUUUAUAAUGAUAGCCUAACCCUGAGCUACACUCCCCUGUCUAGACUUCAACAUCCAAGUCUCUGAAGGUACGUCACCAAGUACUUCACCAAGUAUGUCACCGAGUACGUCAACACCUAACACACACCGAAGAUACCAACGAGCACGUCAACACCAACGCACAACUUGGUCACCACAACACAACGGACAAUUCUGCCACACGUAAUGUUAGCACCAAUGUCACAACACCAAGUACAACGGACACUCCGUCAUACACUAUGUCAACACCAACGUAAACACUCAACAAGAACACAAUGAAACCUCACAAUGAAAACUCUCUCUCUCUCUAAUCUCUGGGUGCUAGUCUUCUUAUAAGACAUGUCCCUCCUUAUUUAAUAAACAUUUAACUUGCUCUCCAAUUCAUUAAAUUCACUUUAAUGAACUUCCAUUUCCAUAUAAGGAAACUUCUUAUUCCUCUCCAAGUAACACUUACUCUCCAAGCAAAAUCCUUUUGCUUAAUGGAAAACGUCAUUUGUCUUCAACAAGAUAUUCUCUUUCUUUUUCCAAGCUCCACUUACACACGUAAUCCAUGUAAGGAAACUUCCUUGUAAGCAUCUUCACAACUCUAAGUCUUGACAUACAUCUUGACAUACCUUUUGUAGUACAUCACGAACUACAUCAGAACAUUGUAAGAACGUACAUCUUCGAAUACAUGUGCGGGUGCGCGGAUCAGUUUCUUGUUCUAUUUAAAUAUAUACUGAUUUUGUAGGGAAGAACAAUAAAAAAUAAUUUUCUUUAGUAACUUCACCAAGCAUUGAAUCAAGUAGCCGAUCUAGAAAUACGUCUAAUCUGAGGCAUAGCUAUAAAACCUUGUUUAAUGCCAUUAUACAUUUGAAUUUUUAAAAAUAGCACUACUAAAUAUCUGUACAAAAUUACAUUAUUUUUUUUUAAAAUCAUAGUGUCCAGCUGCCCCUCCCAGAGUCAACAUAGAUUCACCAUUGUCUGAAUCUACCCAAUGGCCGGCCAUGUUUUAUAGCCAACAUGCAUGAGAUGGUUGAUAUCUAAUAUGACACAUUGACGCGAUGAUAUAUCAAACUGCACCGAACAUUUGCAUUUCAGAGAAAACUAAGUGGCCGAUAAUGUUGGUGGUGAGUUUGCAACCCCCACUUAUCUCUUCACAUAUCUGAAUUGGCCCAAUAAGCAAAGGAAAUAAAUCUGGUCCAAAAGAGAAAAAUUGGUGGCCAAGUUAGUUUAACUUGGUGACCAAGUUAAUUCCACUAUAAAUAUAACUCUCACCUCUUCACAAAGGGAGAUCCAUUUUUCACUUUUCCAUUUUCCAUUUAUGCAGAAAACAAGAGAGAGAAACAGAGAAAGGUUUUAGAGAAAAGUCUCUGGAAAAUCCAGAAAGCCAUCCGUCUGACGACGACACGCCGACGCCAACGUGCCGAACCGGCCCCAUCAACACCGCAUCGUCACCGUCAAACGCUGCACCAUCACCGUCGAACGUCGCACCGUCACCGUCGAUUACCGCACUGUCAAACGCUGUCACCGUCAAUGCCGCCCCGUCACCGUCAACGCCGAACUGACACCAUCAUAGCUGAACCGGCAACGCCGAACCGGCACCAUCUUCACCGACGAACCGAGCAUCUCUUCCCGACGACCUCACUCACGACGACAACCAAAACUAUCAUCUCAAAGAACUAUGAUUUCAUAUCUCACCAUCCAUAUGCUCCCCACUCUGGUCUGGUAUCAAUCCUAAUCUUAACUUCAAGAUAUAAAAAUAUCGUGUGAUGAACUACGAAUGGCUUGAUCUCUCUUACGAGAGUACGUAGGCAACCUUUCACAAGGUGCAGCUAUAACACAAAACCACAUUUUAUCUCUUUGCCAUCACUAGGUACAACUUCAUUAACAAGAUUUUCGGAACUCCGUAUCUUACAUGGGUUAAUUCUAACCCUUGUUUGACCAUUUAUCAUAUUUGUUGACCUUACCGGAUUUGGGCUUCAACAGUCAGCCGUCGUUGUCAUUAUCAACUCUUCGUUGUCAUUAUCAACUCGUCGUUGUCAUCCUCGACGACCACCGAAUCCAUAGUCACAUCCAGAAAGUGGCAUACUGAGAGCUUAUUAAAUAGCACAUGUGAUAGUUGCCCACUUACAACAACUCUCUCAACCACUCCCAAAAGCAACAAGCAACAAAGAACAAGAGAUACUCACUUCAACUACUCUCAAAAGCAACAAGCAACAAAGGACAAGAGAGACCUACUUCAACUACUCUCAAAAGCAACAAGCAACAAAGGACAAUAGAGACCCACUUCAACUACUCUCAAAAGCAACAAGCAACAAAGGACAAGAGAGACCCACUUCAACUACUUCCAAAAGCAACAAGCAAUCAAGUACAAAAAGGACCCUCUUCAACUACUUCCAAAAGCAACAAGCAACAAAUGACCAAAGUGAUCCACUUCAACAACUCCCGAAAGCAACAAGCAACCUAGGAAAUGAUGACCUACUACAACAACUCUCAAGGACAAAUAGUAUCAUAUGAAAUGAUUGUCUACUCCAACAACACUCAAAGACAAGAAACAACUCAAAUAAUAAUGAUAUUCUACGACAACUUAAGAAGCCAACAACUAUAUUUUCAAAAGAAAAAGAAGAAACCAACUCAACACAAAAAAAAUAAAUACGACCGACGACCUGUUCAAAGCAAACUGAUGACCCCGGUUCGGCAUCCAGAAAUCUCCCUUCGUCAUCUCCUAAGAUCCUUUGGUUCGGAAUCCAGAAGCCUCCCUUCGUCAUCUCCAACGAUCCUUCGGUUCGACAUCCAGAAGCCUCCCUUCGUUGUCUUUGACGAUCCUUCGGUUUGGCAUCCAGAAGUCUCCCUUCGUCGUCUCCGACAAUCCUUCGGUUCGACAUCCAGAAGUCUCCAUUCGUCGUCUCCGACGAUCCUUCGCUUCGGUAUCCAGAAGUCUCCCUUCAUUGUCUCCGAGAAUCCUUCGGUUUGGCAUCUAAAAGCCUCCCUUCCUCAUCAGUCGACCGAUUCCCGGCUCGUCUGCCUGUCUUCAUGAAUGUUGUCAUCUCCACUUCAACGAGCUUUCCUUUGUCGUCAUUGCCAACUCGACAACGACGAUGCCAUCUACGACAACCCCAAAACGGCCUAUCUCGCCACCAAAACAUGAAAUCUGAUAUGACACUAAUAUCAUCAAGAUAAGUGUACUCAAUAACUCAUUUACCACCAAAAUACAUACAUCAUUCAUCACCCAAACUUAUCAUAGCUCAUCAUAAUUCAUCAUGAAUCAUCAUAGCUUUUCAUUCAUCAUCAUAGCUCAUCAUAGCUUAUUAGUCAUCAUCACAGAUCAUCAUAGCUUAUUAUUCAUCGUCACAUCUCAUCAUAGCUUAUAGCAUUCAUCAUUCUAAAAAUAAGCCGAGACUCAGCAAAAAAAAAAAAGACGAGCCGAGACUUCGUAACAAAAAAACGAGCCAAGACUCAGUGAAUUCCAUCAUCGUCACCUUUGGCCAGGUGUUCGACAAAAUAUGCGUUCCUCACGGAUGCGGUGGUGAAAUAAUCCACACUCCCGAAUAAGGAGAUGAAAGCCGGGCCCAGACCCGCACUGUCGGCGGUUUAAUAUUCAGUUAAUAAGCCGAGCUCAUCUCGCAUGAGUACUAAUCCCGAUUAAACGAGAUAAACCGAGCCGAGACUCGACCUCAGAAACACCCGAAAGCCGAGCGUAUCUCGCAUGAAGACGAACUAAAAAAAGCGACGAGCCGAGUCUCAUAAUCAUUCAAGGAAGCGACGAGCCCAGUCUCAUAAUCAUCAAAGGAAGCGAUGAGACGAGUCUUAUAAUCAUUCAAGGAAGCGACGAGCCGAGUCUAAUAAUCAUUUAAGGAAGCGACGAGCCCAGCCUCAUAAUCAUUCAAGGAAGCGACGAGCCCAGUCUCAAACCACCCAAGACCCAAUGAGAAGAAAAAUUGACGAGCCGAACUCGUCUCAUCCGUCCAAGAAUCAACGAGAACAAUUGACGAGCCAACCUCGUCUCAUUCAUCCAAGACCCGAGAAGAAGAAUCGACGAGCCGACCUCGUCUCAUCCGUACAAGAAUCGACUAGCCGGCCUCGUCUCAUCCAUUCAAGACCCAACGAGAAGAACCGACGAGCCGACCUCGUCUCAUCCAUCCAAGAAGAGCCGACCUCGUCUCACUCUUUCAAGACCCGACGAACUGAACCUCGUCUCAUUCAUCCAAGACCCAAGAAGAAGAAUUGACGAGCCGACCUCGUCUCAUCCGUCCAAGAAUCGACGAGAACAAUCGACGACCAACCUCGUAUCAUUCAGCCAAGACCCGAGAAGAAGAAUCGACGAGCCGACCUCGUCUCAUUCGUCCAAGAAUCGACGAGCCGACUCAUCCAUCCAAGAAGAGCCGACCUCGUCUCAUUCACCCAAGACCCGACGAGAAGAAUCGACGAGCCGACCUCGUCUCAUCCGUCCAUGAAUCGACGAGCCGACCUCAUCUCAUCCGUUUAAGAAUCGACGAGCCGACCUCAUCUCAUUCAUCCAAGACCCGACGAGCCGACCUCAUCUCAUUCAUCCAAGAUCCGUCCAAUAUGUACUAUGUGCAUAUUUUGAUAUUUGGGUUAUGGUUUAUAUUUUCUUCUAAGGUUUAGUGAUUAGUGUUUUGAGUUUAGUUUUUGAAAGAUUUGGAUUGAAGUUGGGUUUAAUUUUAUUAAUUUUGGAUAUGUAUAGUAUAUUAAUAUAUUUAAAUCAUUUUAUAAUUUCAUUAACAUAAACUAUACCAUAUAGCAUGGUCUAUUCUAUUUAUAUACUAUCACCAUAAUCAACGUGGAUGUCAUAACCACCACUAUUCUAAUAACAUUUUUAUUUUAUUUUUAUUUAAAUGACAGAUGCUUUUGGAUGUUAUUACCGGGAACUGACUUAAAAAAAGGAGAGAACUGGAAGAAAAUGAACAAAAUGCUAUGAAAUCUAAUAAUGUCAAAUCAUAUGCUAUAUUCUUAAUUUUGUCUCCAAAAUUGGUUAUUUCACCAAUAAGCCAUAUUUUUUCGAUCAGUAGGAUCCCAUGGUAGAUUGUCCAAAUCAUCUAAUUCAAUUUGAAAUGAUGACGAUGGAGUUUUUCUUUUCAAAAGUAUCAAAAAUUUCUCCAUAUGUCUGCAAAUAAAAAAAAUAUUAUUAAAAAAUAACUUAUAGUUAGAUAAUUAGAAUCAAUAAGAAUAAACUAAAUUACUAUUUUAAAUACGAAUCUACCAGCUAAGAAGAGAUUAGAAAAUCUUAAAUUGAUACCUUGUUGAGUUUCGAAGAAGACGACGGCAAGUUUUCCAAGAAAAAAAAAAUCCAAUUCUAACUUAAUGUAUUUGGGCUUUAGGUUUGUAAAUUAUUGAAGUUAAACAUGUUUUUCCUUUUUCAAUUGUAAACAUUAUUUAUUGGGAAAUUUGGCGUCAUGUACAUAAACCAGAAAAUAUUAAGUCCAUAUCCACAUCAAGUGUUUGGCUAUGAUAUGUUAUAUAUUAUUCUGAAAAGAUUCAAAAAUGUCCUUAGUUGUGCGUGAAAAGAGAUGAGAUGAAGUUCAUCUCUUAUUAUACAAAACUAACGGAAUCAAUUCUGAACAAUAGUUGAAAAAGUAUAUCUGAGAGAAAGAGUUAUAGUUUUGGAGACUGUUCGCAUAAGUAGAAGAAUCAAUUUUAUGAAUAGAUAAACAUUGAAGGUUCUCAACAGUGCGAUAACUGAAAACCCAGUCACUAAAUAUGGUAAGUCCGGUAUGAUUGAAUAUAAUUAGAGGGUUGAGAAAUAGUUUCGUUGACAGAUCUUUAAGCAUAUAAAGAAUCAAGCGAUGGAUUGAAUUGGAGAAGAUGAGCAGUAAAUUUGUGACAUGUUCUAUUCUAUUUUAUAAUUAGUAUAGUAUGAUAUAUUUUUAUUCUGUCUGUUCAAAUUUUUUCCCGUUGUCCAUCUCCUUAUUAUUCUUCUUUACUAUUCCACCAGCUCAUUGUCUUGUGUUCCAUUAAUGCCGCCAAUCAUUGUUUCCUCACCUCCUCCUAUCGUCUCUUCUUCUCCUCCAACUUUUAUGGUUAUUUUGUCUCCUACUUCAUCAACUCUGACGACACUUCCAUCAACCCUAUGCUAAGGGUAUAUCCUUAUGCACUACAUGAUUCUUCUUCUUCACUAUUUCAACAACUUUAAUUUCGAUCACUACAUUGCAAAUGGACUUUUUGUUUUGUUUUGAGAGAACUAUUCUAUUAUCGACAUAUAAAAUAGAUUUGUAUCACAAUAUGUAUUAUUUUUUUCCUCUCACUUGUAGCAUCGCCACCGCCACCACCACCACUACCAGUUGUUUCAUCACCACUGGUCUCCUCUUCCACCACCAUCGCCAGCCGUUAUCUCCUCAACUAUCCCACCGUCUCUUCUUUUCCUCCACCUCUCGUUUUUCUCCUGGAACUCAGUGCGAUACGCCAACUUGAUCGAUACGCCAUCCUCACAGUUGUGAGUCUCCCUUAGCAUCGCAGCACAAACAUGUGCCGUUGAAGUAUUCUCCAGCUUUAACCCGGACCUACUCACGCAAUGAGUGAUUUUGUGUCGUUUACUUUCAUCUUACAUGAGUCUUAUGCACUCACCAAUGGUGUUUCUUUUAAUUUUCCAUGCAUAUUGUUUAUCUUAUUUUGUAAACUUUGUUUUAUGUCUGCAAUUUUGCGACAAAACUAAAAUUGUCUCCUAAUACGGUUGUUAUGAAUGUUAACAUUCUCAAGCCGUCACACUAACUUUGUCCUUUUGAAUUGGUUAGACAUUGAUGACAUACACAAAAAUGAAGGGUUUUCGUAUUUGUGUCGAAUAUUCAAUAUUGUGUUGUAAUUAUGUAAAAUAUAGUCAUCUAAUUGAUGAAACGACUUCGUAAUUAGUUAACUCCUUUGUGGAUAUUAUACUAUUUGGUAUGUAGUAUAGUAUCACAUCUUUAGCAUUAGAGCGUCAACUGUUGGAACUCGUUUUUGACGAAAUGGUUUAAGACCAUUUUUGAUAAGAUUCCGGGCGAAGACGUUCGUCGGAAUAACUGAAUGUUUGACACUAUAGUGUAUUCGUAUGUCAAAAUCAGAGUUGGUUUGAAUGAGAAAUGGAGGUUGAAAGUGAAUGAUAUAAAAAGCUUGUAAAGCUUUGAAUUUGGCUAAGCAUAAAAACUAAGCAAAUGUAUCACUUUGGGUAUGUGAGUUUAAGUGUUGAUUUAAUUGAUUAAUUGGACUUUAUGUCAAUUAAUCCAUUGAAAAUCAUAUUCUUAAAAUAUUUUUUUGUAUUUACUUAAAUGUAAAAUAUAAACCCAAAAAGUAUAUUGAUGGAUUUUUAUUUGGUCAAAACCUCUUUAUGACUUAAAAAAGAAACGUACAAGUACAAGAGUUAUGAAUUAUGACAUUCAAAUUUCAUUAUGACACUUAAUUGGUACGUUCGUUGACUCCAUAAUGACAGUGCUUUCAUUUUUCUGUAUAAAAGGAAGCACUUUUGUUAACAACUUAUUCGAAGCUAGAACAUGAACAAGUGUAAUUCUCCCACUUGAAUAUUUGAUUCAUUAUUUUUUGUGUUUUUUUUUUUUGAGUCUGAGAUUACACACAAAACUAGUUUCGUCAGACUUCUGAUAUAGUGACGCAAACCAGAAGAUUUUUUACAGUUGUAUUUUAGGACUCAUUACAUUAUCGAACCGUCGCACUACUGGACGUAUUUUGAGUUAAGGAAAGAGAUAAUAUCUCGCCUCUGCAGUUGUAUCAUCAUUUUCUUAAUCUUUGGUAUAAUCUUAUCAAAUUUAUUCUUUACAAUAUUCAAUUCUCCAUAGUUUAUAUAAUACGGUCCUAUCAGUCUUAACUCAAAAUAUCCGUUUAUUGUUUUUCACUAACCGAACUGAUUAUUGUAAAAAUUUGUUUUAUAAGAAUAGGUGGAUCGAUAUUUAGUAAAAGGUGCUGGAAUCAGAUCGGCUCUAAUACUUUUCAGUGUAUUGGUGUAUUGUCUUUUAUUUUUUUUAUUUUUUUCAUCUGUUGUUUUAUUAAAGGUCUUAAUUCCAAAAGAACUAAGCCUAACAUAAGCAUCGAACAAGGCUGAACAAAACCCAAAACAGAAAUUACAAAAGCUUUAACCAGGCCUUAAAGCCACACAGGACUCAACACCACCGCGUGAACACUCAUCACGACCGGGAGACAUGAGCUUCCUCCAACGGAACUUCACCAUCAGCGAAACCAUACUGAAAAAGGCUUGAAUCCAGAGCUUCGAUCUUCCAACAAAUAAGAGCAAGCAUCUUUAAUGAUAAUAGUAUCCUUGAAGAUGCAGCGACCAAAUACAGGAAUGGAAAAUCAACCGGAAACGCCACAACAAGAAACAGUAACUCAUAGGACAUUGAAAAUCGUAGAACAACCAAACCGCAAACAAAAGCGGCGCUAAGCCGGCGAAGACGGUGUAAAGGAAUCACCUCUUCCCGGAGACAAAAGCCGGCGAAGAUGGUGUUAUGUGAACCACCUCUUCCCAGAGACUACAGCUCCAUCCAUGGAGAGACAUAAACCUGAUACCAUGCGGUGAGAAAAACACAAAUCGAAACCAGAAAAGAGGAGCUCCUUGGGUUACCAGAAACCAGAGAAGGGGUGAGCACUAAAGACCAAAAAGCCGACCACAAAAGACUCACAAAACAGAGCUUUGACCAAAUCUGAUGGAAGAAAUAACAACCCACAUCAGAGACGGCAUCAACCAGCACCGUACACCAGAAAAAAAUACAGAUCUAGUCAAAACAAUCAAGGGAACCGCCGCAGCGACGAUGAAAUCAACCCACACCACAUCUUACGGACCACUGAAGGAUCUCCUCAAGACCUAAAGAGCUAUACCAUUAACAAACAGGCUACAACAAGACAAAGAAGAAAAGAAAAAAAAAACAGGUACAAGACAGAUUUUAAAAGGACCACACAGAGGAGAUCUAUAAACAAGACAGCACAGCUCCGACGCUAUGGAAGCCACCGGAGCUGUAAAUCUGAAAAUUUGAGAGUUGCUGGUUAGGAGAGAAGACAGAACGUCUAAGAGAGAGAAAAGAGGAAGGGGAGGACAUUUCUUUGUUUAACUGUGUAUUGUCUUUUAUAGUGUAGAGUUUUUGAGUUUAGCUUCCAAUUUAAAACUGAUAUUGGAAACAGACCGGACUUCAAAAGCUUUGAUUGCCUACAUUUAGUAUUUUAACAUAUAUAUAAUUAUUAGUGGAAAGUAACUACUUAAAAAAUUCCAUCAUUAAACUAAUAGUUUUGCUUAGGAGCUAUUAAUAUCAUAAGUUGUACUUUCAAUAUAAUAACAAUUACAAUAGUCAAUAGGCAUAAGGUUUUGUUAGUUGGAAACAAAUAAUUCGGAAAGCAAACAAAGCAAUCACAUGAUAUGAGAUCUCAUCCCAAUAAGAUAAUAUAGUAGGUUUUAUGUAAUCUUACUAUAAAUCUAUCUAAUAAAGUUGGUGAGAACGUAUUUCAUACUCCAUCCCUUUCAUAUUAAGUGAUGUUGUAUAACAAUUUUUUCUUUUACAAAAUAAAUGUCGUUUUAGGGUUUAAGUGCAAUUUAUGUCAUUAAUUUGUUUCUUUACCUCUACAUAAAUUAAGAAAAAAAAAUAAAAGCAAUAGAAUUCUAAUUGUUAAAUAAGGGAAAAACCGAACAUUUAACAUUUUUCUUAAUUGGCGUGAAUUUAGAACAGCAAUUAAAAUGAAAUAAAAAGAGUAUAUGUUAGAGUCUUAUUUUAUUUUGUUAUAAAUCUGGUGUAGUUAGAAUAUGAUAUGCGGUAUUUACAACCUAAUUGAUGAAAAUGUGCAAAUUAAAAUCAUUUAUCUAUUGAAGCUCUUGUUAAAUCUUUUUUUCUUCAUAAUUAAAUUAAGGAUGCUUCUUCUUACUUUAUCUUUAUAUUUAAAAUUAAAUAUAUAUUUUUAAUAAUAUUUAUAAAAUAUAAAUUUUGAUAUCUUCAGAUAUUAUAUAGAUGAUUCAAUUCAUAUUAACAGCUGAUAAACUAUUAUUUAUAUUUGAUUUUAUAAUUUGUAUCUAUAUUUUUAUUUGAAUAGCUUAUACAGUUAAUUUAUAUAUUAAAGUAUUAACUUUUGUUUUGUAUUUAACAGAAAGUCAUAAUUUAUGAUUAUUAUAUAUUUUCUCUGUUUUAGUGUAUAAAUAGAUAUGAAGAUUUUUAUUUUGUUUCACAAUGUAAUUUAUUUCGAAGUCCAAUGCAAAAGAUGAAAUUGCUAAACAAUAUUUAUUUAAAAAGUUAAAAUUAAAAUUUGAAAUAGAAUUUAUUAUUAGUUAUUCUUUCUCAAUAAUUAAGUGCUAAAGACAAAAGAAUAUAUAUCUUAGUAUUUGUAUAUUUCAGGUUUACAAAAAGAAAUCUAUAAGAAAUUUGGAUGAUGUAAUAAUCACAGAAAAUGCUAACUACGAAAACAUACUAAUUUGAAUUUAUAAUCACAUGUGUCUGUUCUCUGAAAACCUAAAGACGUUGCCGAAUUGCAAAUUCCAUCACGUUGUAAACAUAAUCGGCGUGUGCAUGCAAAAUAUAUUUCGCUCAUAAAUUUUUGAAACCGAAUGCUCCGUCGGUUCCAUUGUUGAUCAUUGCAGGAAAAUUGAUUUGUUGUUGAAAAAAGGACUGGUUAGUUCAACGGCAGAUGCACAUCGUGUCAAGAUACAUUAAUUUUUUUCUCAUGUCACUGUAAAAUCGCUUACAGUCAAAAGUUAUACACAGAAAUUCGAUGAGAAUACACUGAUAGACUUUGAAAAUGGACAGUGAUGAGACCUAAUAGCUCACUACAUUAGCUCCAGCAGGAAAGACUCCUCCAAUGAUCACCCGAAUCCAAUCCCUGGUCUUGAGGUUCAGAGCCAAUGGCAGUGGGAUAAAACAGUAUAGCUGCCUCGGGAAACCAUUGAUCCCAACAUAUAGCUGAAUAGAACAUUGCACCAAUACUUCAGUUAUGAUUUCGUCUACUUAUAAAUCACACGAAAAAGCUACGCAAGAAAAUUUCGUUUAUACAUGUUAACCAAAUAGCAAUGAUAAAGUAAGAAAAUGUUUAAUUCGGAGAUUCUUCUACUCAGAAACUACCUUAAAGCCAGUGUCACCAUGAUUGAAAUAAAUAUUUCUCUUAACCUGAAGAAUAGAAAAUAUAUCAUCAAAAGAAAGUCGAGUGCUUUCUAACCCCAAACUUGAUUCACCUGGUCCAUCAGGGAUAUGCGACUUCCUAUAAAUCCCAAGGUUAGUUCCAUCAGAGUCAAUAAUGGCAACAGAAUUGUAAGUGCGUUAAUUUGCCUACUCAAAAAAGCUAACCGGCAUCACUACACUCAGAUCCUUUGCCAGCUUCUGCAUCCUGUGUUAGUAACCCUUAUCCAACCAUUAAAGCACAACUAUAUAACGGAUACAUCUCCAGAUGACAUCUCCCGUGUCGAUGAAAGUACAAAAAACCACAAUCUAAGUAUCAAAGGUGCACCAAUAUGAAAAAGAGGAUACCUUGCAGUGGUAGGAUGAUCUUUGUAAGGCUUGGCUCGCUGAAAGUAGUCCUCUCUUGGUGCUUGACAGAAGUAAUAUAUGUUCCUGUAUUCAUGGAUGUAAAAAAAUAAAAUGAUUGGAGAUACUUGCAUUCAUAUUGUAUGGUAAUCAUUUUUUUAAUAUGCAAUAGUCAAGGGAGAACAUCAUAGAUCACUACAUAACAGGACUUUACUUGACUCCAGAGUCCACAGAUAGAGCAUCAGAUAUGUCAAUACUUAAGGCAGGUGAUGACAAUCUAAAUCGAAACACUACAGCAGAUAUGUAAGAGGAAGAAUGACCUGAAUAAGAACGAUGUUUGCCUAAAUCGAAACACUCAAGAGUCGCGUUCAUGGUGAUCAUGUCCGUUCCUACACCACCAGCAUCUUGACCAGCUUGGAUCUUGAGCGUCUCGAAUGUUAUACUCUGCAAAGUUCAGAUCUGAGAAUCGGAUUCUUGAAUCAGAUUUAAAAUCUAAGAGUUCAGAUCGGAACACUAACCUUGACAGUUAUCUUCGGUUUCUGAGGUUUAGCAGCUCCGUACAGAAUCAAAGAGAAGAGGCCAAAGAGUAUGAAGAACCCAACGAUGAAGGCCAAUACAUAGUACCGACGAGGCACGCCACGAUCUCUCUCGCCGUCAUCUAACAACCCUUCUUCUUCGAUCAUCGCGCACUCAUUCCACUGCUUCUCUCCGCCGUGUCCUUUCCUCUUCGAGCCGUCGUUGACUUUCCGAGACCCGGGUUGAGGAGGAUUCUCGUGAGUGGCGGCCCAUGGAUGAUUGAGAAUGCGGUGGAGAUCCCAUCGGACUAAGUACCAGAGUUCAGUGGUGUUGGCAAAAGAACGAUGUUGGCUUCUUUUAUGUGCUUCUCUGACCAGAACACAAAACGAAGAAACAAAAGCCCCAUCGCUUGCUCCGUCGCUUUUUUGCUCUCUGAAAACUAUACAUUUCGUUGAUGUCUCUCUCUUCACACUCUCCAUCGGUUGCUCCAAUUAAGCUCCAAGAGUGAGCUGCUGUAAACGUAAUAAAUUAAUUAGCUAAGGAAAUCAGGUGAGAGCCGAUGAUUAGAAGAAAUGGUAAAUUGACUUCAGAGGUAAAAGGCUAAAGCAAGGAGAUUAAUAAAGUUGCAGUGAGGAAGGAGAAGAGUAAGAGUCUGCCUCUUCGUCGCUGGAGUGUGGAAUUACGUUGGAAUACGAAGGAAGUGGAAGAAGGCUGUGGAUAUUAUAUAGUGAGUUUUGGAAAUCUGAGAAGUUGUUCUCAUCGGACUGUUUCAGAGUUCCAAAGAUCAAAAAUGGAUAUAUGAAGUGGUGGAAGGUGAAAGAGUGACUUUUUGUUUAGUCGAAUAUUAGGUUUGAGAGAGGUAGGCCUGAAAUGGGUCAUGGAGAAUUAUUAUUGGCUCACACCAAUGAUCCAAUAUUUUUCUUGUGUCGAUUAAAGCAUUAAAGGAGGCGUGAGGUGGCAUUUUAAAAUUCUAUGAUUGGCUGAUUUUAUGAACGACGUGGACAGACUGAGAAUUGAGUAUAUCUCCCUUUUAGUAUUGUUAGAUAUCUAAGAUUCUAUAGAUAUCUCCUAUAUAUUAUUUGUGAAACAUUACAACUUCUUUUUGUAGCCACGUGUCAUCACUAGGAUGAUUCUUAGAAUUAUUAGAGAAAUAUGUUGGUUCAUCUAAUUAUAUAAUAAGCUUUUUAUUAAACUAACUAUAAAUUCAUUAUUAAUGUCAUUUAUUAUUUCCUUAAAUAAAGAUUACGGAAUUGCCUAAUGUGGCUAAAGUAUAUAUGACAAUUAAUGAUUUUGAAUAAUAAAAAUUUGAUUAAAAAAAUAAUGUAUUUUCUAUCAAAAUUUUUUAAUUUUAAACUAUUAAACUAUGUAUGUUAAUAUCAUUUAAAUUUAAUUACAUAUCCUAUCAAUUUUUUAAAAAAAUUGUUUGGAUUAAUAAAAUUGAUUUAUACGUUCGCACCAAUUUAAUUAUAUAUGUAAUAGUUACUGACUUUUAGUUAUUCAAUAUAUAUUAGUUAUUUCAUAAUAUGUAAGAACAUAUAAUACAUAAAAUAAUUUUUAUAUAUAAUGUUUAUUCCGCGCAAGGCGCGUGUCUUAAUCUAGUGUAUAUAUAUUAUUAAAUUUAAUAUUUUGUUGAUAGAUCAAAAAGUACAGGAUUUUGAUUAGGGUUUCCUCAAGAUAUGAUUAUCAAUUGGUCAGGGAUGGGUUAAGCUAAUCAAAGCAGGUUUUUAUGCGACCUUUCGCAGUUACUAAAUGCCUAAACAGCUCUUGAUGCUAACUUUAGGACGAUAUCAAAACAUGAAGAAUAAAAGCAACCAAUGCUUUUCUUGGUCUACUUCUCGUAAUAUACUAAUGUUAUAUACUAAAAGCAACCAAUGCUUUUCUUGGUCUACAACCUAUUGGAUCAUAUUCGAUCAAUCAAUGUGAUUUAGGGUUUCAACAUAAACAAGGCCGGUCGGUUUUUAAUCAAGUCUAUAACAGGAUGAGAACUAAUCAAUCAGAUUCAAUCAAGGCUAGCAAGCGACUUCAAUUCAUUCAAUCGGUUUAUAUCAACCUAGCAUAUGGAUUCUAUGUGAUCAUAACAUAUUCAAUCAAUCUAACAAUCAAAUUCGAUUUCAAGCUUAGCAUUAGGGUUUCAAUUCAGAUCAAGCAAUCAAAUUUUAUUUCGGGUAUUUAGGGUUUGGAUCUAUUACCUUAGGGUUUUGGUUAUUAGGGUUUUAGUUUUACCUUAACCUCUGAUUGAGUUGAAUGGACCACCAACAAGAGGAAGGUCGCGAGCUGGUCGAACUAAGAUUGUCGGGUCGCGAACUAACUGGGAUCGGGAACGCCUUGGAUAUGGGGUGAAAGGUUCUCGAUCGGAUUAGGUUCAAGCCGGGAUGGAGGAUCACGCCGGCUAGGGUUAUCGCCGUUAGGGUUUAGGGUUUGAGCUCGGGACUUUUAGCUUAGGGUUUUAGAGUAAUCGUGCUGAUUAACGGCACCCCUUAACAUGAAUCGUUUUAGAAUUUGUUUUGAACGAACUAAUCUCCAAUUCUGACACUAAUUUUUUAAACCGCAAUCCAUAAGUCUAAAGCAAAUAGGAAAUCAGCCAAGGAGAAAAGGCAAGAGACUGGCCGACUCUCUCUAGGCGGACGCCGACUCUUUCUCUCUCUCUAAGUAUGGACCGGUAUGGAACGGGUCGGUUAUGGACAUCCACAAUAUGGUUUAUAACAGCCUACGGUAUUUUCAGAGACCUUUUCUCUAAAAUCAAAACUACUUAUACAACUAAACCUAAAUUAUUAUACUCUUCUAAGCAAAUAGAUUUGGCAACAUAUAAAUGUAAUGUAAGUAGUUUGAUUUGUUAGUAAAAUAUGGUUAAAAAUAACUGUAGUUAUCUAAUCAUAUUGUUUGAUUGAUUUAAACUAAUCCACGAUAUAAGUUACAAAAGAAAAAAAAACUAAUCCACGAAUAUGAUAUUUCCGGGGAAUUUGUGCAAGAGAAGUCAUUACGAGGGGGUAGAUAGAGUCGACGAAAAAAGUUUAGAAUUGACUGUUUUCACAAUCACAUUGAGAUUCUCUCGUCUUUGAACAAAGAACAAUUUACAUGCCAGGACCUAAUCCUUGCAUUCAGACUUGAUAUAUAACAAUAUUUUUCAGUUAUAAUCAUAAGUUGGAAAUGUAAUCUUUUAUAACGAACAUGUAUGCCAACAUGUUGGUCCGAUUAGUUCCAACUGUAUGAGACUGAACAACCAUUCAAAGCGAUGAGGAAACAUGCAUUUUCUGCGAAAAAUGUUCAAUAACUAAAAAGGAUAACUUGCAAAAAACCAACCACAACAUAACACAAGACAGUAGACAACUUAGGCUGUUUGCAUGAAAAAAAAAAAAAAAGCAGAACACAAGAGUUCUCAGUUACUUACGUUACAAAGUCUUGAGAGUUUAGAAUCUUGCAUCAAAUAGAAAACCAGGGACAGAGAUUUAAAAGUUUUUUUUUAGCUCGACAUCAUCACAUUAUCAAUAGAUUGAAGAGCUUGGUUUGCAAAGAACCUGACAUCAACAUCUGGAUCCUCGCUUAGC